rnacentral:rRNA from 1 species
AAUCAACGCUGGCGGCGUGCCUCAGACAUGCAAGUCGAACGAUUAAACUUGCCUUCGGGCAAGAUAUAAAGUGGCGCACGGGUGAGUAACACGUAAGUAAUCUACCUUCGAGUGGGGAAUAACGUCGGGAAACCGACGCUAAUACCGCAUAAUGCAGCGGCACCUAAUGGUGACAGUUGUUAAAGGAGCAAUUCGCUUGAAGAGGAGCUUGCGGCAGAUUAGCUAGUUGGAAGGUAAUGGCUUACCAAGGCUACGAUCUGUAACCGGUCUAAGAGGACGGUCGGUCACACUGACACUGAAUAACGGGUCAGACUCCUACGGGAGGCAGCAGUCGGGAA